CUCGGUUCGCCAAUUUUUAGCAGUCGACCCAAAAGAAAAAAGCAGUUGCCUAACUUGCCCUUGGCGCUAAAAGAAAAAACACGCAUAAUCCACAUAUUAUGCUUCUUGUUCCUUGCAUCGGUGCUUUUUUCUUCAGUGUUUCCUUCCACAGAGCACACACCGGCGAUGCCUCAUCAACCUCUACCUGUGGCAACUGAUUUCUUCUUCUUCUUCUUUUCUUUUUCUGAAAUCAGUAGAAAAAUAUUUUGUUUUCAUAUUUCCAUGGCCUGAUACGUUAAUGCUCUUUAGUUUUAUGAAUUUUGUCUAUGUUCUCGGAGAUGAUUGCACAUGAAGUGUUUGAUGGAAUGCUUCAAUGAAAAUUUUGAUUAAAAUGAAUCUAUAUUGCCCUUGUUCACACCCUUAGUAUAAUAUCCCCAAGUACUUUUACACUUGACAAUUGUUCUGUCUUUAUGGUGAUUUUGCAACCAUGGUCCUUCCUAUUGUUUUUCUUCAUAUCUUUUGGAUUCUUUUUGGUUAUAUUAUUGUAAAUGGAAGGUCAUCAUUUUUGUGUGAUUUGAUGGUUGUGAUGAUAUUAGCAGAGAUGAAGGGCCUAAAAUUGAUAUCAGAUGUCAAACCUUAUGAUUGUGAAAGCAACGGGCAGGUCAUCAUAUAUGUGUGCUUUUGAUGGUUGUAUGAUGGUUGUACUGAAACCCCUAGCAAAACAAAAGCAAAGAUGAUCCAGACAAGCAUGUUGAUAAUGGUAGAACCUCUAACAUCGUGCUCUACUAUUUUUCUACAAAAUGUGAUCCUUUUAUUACAAUUUAGGUAAUGUAUUUUGUGAUAAAGAAUGGUUGUGGGAGAAGAGUAUUAGUAUUUUGUUUGAUAUGGAAUUUAAUUUUAAAAGAGAAGAUUGGUUUACAUAUUCUUAUUGACUUUGUGUACAAUAACUAUAAACAAUGUUGUAAGUUGUUUUUUAAGUUUGUUCGUUUUGAGAUUAA